rnacentral:rRNA from 1 species
GACAGAGGGGGCAAGCGUUGCUCGGAAUUACUGGGCGUAAAGGGCGCGUAGGCGGGAUGGCAAGUCGGUCGUGAAAUCCUUCGGCUCAACCGAAGAACGUCGAUCGAUACUGCUGUUCUAGAGGAUUGCAGAGGAGACUGGAAUUCCCGGUGUAGCGGUGAAAUGUGUAGAGAUCGGGAGGAACACCGGUGGCGAAGGCGGGUCUCUGGGCAAUUCCUGACGCUGAGGCGCGAAAGCGUGGGGAGCAAACGGGAUUAGAAACCCCAGUAGUCC